UACGUAGGGGGCUAGCGUUGUCCGGAAUCAUUGGGCGUAAAGAGCGUGUAGGCGGCUCGAUAAGUCCGCUGUGAAAGUCCAGGGCUCAACCCUGGAAUUGCCUUUAAGACUGCAUCGCUAGAAUUGUGGAGAGGUAAGUGGAAUUCCGAGUGUAGAGGUGAAAUUCGUAGAUAUUCGGAAGAACACCAGUGGCGAAGGCGACUUACUGGACACAUAUUGACGCUGAGGUGCGAAAGCGUGGGGAGCAAACAGGG
rnacentral:rRNA from 1 species